CAUAAGCAUUCUUGUGCUCGGUGUUGUGGCAAAGAUAAAAACUACAUAUAUAUGUGGUAUACAUGUAGAAAAAAAGAAUAAACCAACCCUGCCAUUGUGGAGCUGGUAAACAUUCUGAAGAAGGCUCUGUGCUAGGUUCUGGGGAGACAGAAGAUAACAAAGGAGACAGCAGUGUCUGACCGCAUGUGCCUUACAUCCUGGUGGCUUUAUGACUUCUUUACAGGAUUGUGACUUUAAUGAAGGACUCUGAGUUUCCAAGUGUACGGAUUGUAUUUGCAUAUUUGUGUCCACAAAUGCCUACUAUGGCCCCGGCAUACGGAGAGGAGAGAUUUAGUCUCUGAAGCAAUUGAACCAGGGGGCCUCUGAAUUCAGAGACACCAGGCAUGGCUGAGAGCUUGAGUGAGGUGGCCAACUGGAAAGAGAGGGAUUACGUGAAAGGCUGCACCCUGAGUGACGAGGCGCUCAGACCGCUUUCCCUACCCCCGGAACACCAGCUGCUACGUGCAAACCUCAAUGGAAUGAUGGUGCAUCCUUCUCGGCGAAUCUCAAUGGCUGGUGCUACAGGAAGGAGGUCUCCCUACAGUGACAAGUCCCUGUAAAACCACGUGGGCUGUUGAGGAAGCCCAUAGUUGCCUCUGUUCUGGAAUCUUCCAGCACCAAGAGAAUGCCUCUUGCUUCACUUUCUGUUUGGCUUCAUGGAAUUUAAUAAUAUCAACAAUAACUUCAUAGAGUACAUUAUAUGCCAGUUUCAGCGUAAAUGUCACCUUCUAUGAGAAGCAUCUUCUGGACCAGUUAGACAGCAAACUAUGCUGGAGGCAAGAUUGGCAUCCUGUUGUGAAAGUGAAUAGCCUUCCCAGAUGUGUGUGUGAAAAGCAGCCUGCAGGGACACUCUGUGGGGAUGGCCACAACACCCCCACGCUCCUAACAAGAAGCAAUUUGGAGUCCAGUUGGACCACUGAUCAGGUCACUUCAUCUUAGUCCUAGGUCCCUCCCCUAUUUUGAUGGUGGAAGCUUUGGCUAGAACAGAUGCAGUCCAGGCAGACCCAUGCCUGAUGGAGCCAGCAGAUCCUUAGGCUGUGCUGGAUCAUUAAGGAGAUUUCCCGUGAAGAUCAGUUGAUGGGAACAGAAGCAGGGUUGGAGUCCUGCCUCCAGCAUUUGGACAAGUUUCUUAGUUUCUCUGACCACCAGAAUCCUGCUUUCUGAAAUGAGUAUGACACUACCAGCCUGGCAAGGCCAUUUGGAAGAUCAAAUGGGAUGGAUGACUUAUGUGGAAGUUAUUAAACAACUGUAAAGCAUUAAUCUGAUAUUCUUGUUAAAAUGCCAUUCCUUUUUACCUUAGUAUUGGGCACACCUGCCUCCCUUCUAGCUGUCUCAUGACUAAACCCCACUACACCAUUUACCAGACCUCACAGGAAAUGUUUCCAUUUGUGCUGGGAGUUUG